AUGCCGAAGCAUAUGCCGAAAGGAGGCGUCGCCGAUGACGGUUCCAAGACCGCCGAGCAGAGCUCAGCUGAGGACACCCGUGCGGUGGACGCGCUUGCGCUGCGAGGCAGGCCGGGAGGUGAGCUAGGUGCGCCACGCUCCGUGCGAGACGUGGGCAUGUCCAGCACCUCCUCCCCCCUCCUCACGCGGACCAACUACCCCAGUUGGUCGGUCAUGAUGAAAGUCAUCAUGGAGGCGCGGCAUAUGGGGAAAGCCGUGGAAACCGGCGAUGUCGAGUACGAGGAGGAUCGGCUGGCAAUGGAGGCGAUCUUGCGCUCCGUCCCAGAGGAGAUGGUGCUCACCCUUGGCGCCAAGAAGACGGCCAAGGAAGCAUGGGAGACCAUCAAGACUCUGCGCAUCGGCGUGGAGCGCGUACGGGAGUCGAAGGCCCAGACCUUGCGCCUCCAGUACGAGGAGAUCCGGUUCAAGGCCGGUGAACAAGUCGAUGACUUCGCCUUGCGGCUGCAAGGUCUCGUCAACGAGCUCACAAUGCUCGGAGAUCCCAUCGACAACAAGAUGGUGAUUCUCAAGUUUCUCCGCGUCGUCCCCAGGCAGUACAAGCAACUGGCCUGGUCCAUCGAGAGCUUGGUGGAUCUCUCCACCAUGACGAUCGAGGAACUAGUAGGGCGGCUGAAGGUCGUCGAGGAGCGUGGCGACGACGCCAACAACCGUGCUGGCGGCGAACUACUGCUCACCAGGGAGCAGUGGGACGCGCAGCUUCAGCAGCGCGGCCGCGACGGCUCUUCCGGCAGUGGGGGAGGCGCCCCCACGGGAAGCAGAGGUCGCGGCAGAGGCAGAGGCCGCGCCCAGAGCGGUGGCGGCAACCGCGGUCGCAGGCCAAGCCAGGCAGGGCGAGGCGCUGGCAACGGUGGCAAGUGCCGCUACUGCAACAUGCCGGGUCACUGGAUCCGGGAUUGCCACAGGAGGAAAGCCGACGAGGCAGCCGCGGCAACGGCAAACCUCGUCCAGGCUGACGUGGAUGGUGGGCCGGCAAUGAUGCUGGCAAGAGUCGAGCCCGUGCAGGAGAGCUCAGCGUCUCCCAUGACCACGGCCCCGACAUCCACCCAUUCCGUGUAG
rnacentral:rRNA from 1 species